UCUGGUGAUCAUAGAGACGUGGCCCCACCCGGUCCCAUCCCGAACCCGGAAGUGAAACGCGUCAUCGCCGAUGAUAGUGCAACGAUAGGUUGCGCGAAAGUAGGUCGUUGCCAGAA
rnacentral:rRNA from 1 species